rnacentral:rRNA from 1 species
UCAUGGACGAGAGUCUGAACCAGCCAAGUAGCGUGAAGGAUGACUGCCCUAUGGGUUGUAAACUUCUUUUAUACGGGAAUAAAGUGAGGCACGUGUGCCUUUUUGUNNNUACCGUAUGAAUAAGGAUCGGCUAACUCCGUGCCAGCAGCCGCGGUAAUACGGAGGAUCCGAGCGUUAUCCGGAUUUAUUGGGUUUAAAGGGAGCGUAGAUGGAUGUUUAAGUCAGUUGUGAAAGUUUGCGGCUCAACCGUAAAAUUGCAGUUGAUACUGGAUAUCUUGAGUGCAGUUGAGGCAGGCGGAAUUCGUGGUGUAGCGGUGAAAUGCUUAGAUAUCACGAAGAACUCCGAUUGCGAAGGCAGCCUGCUAAGCUGCAACUGACAUUGAGGCUCGAAAGUGUGGGUAUCAAACAGGAUUAGAUACCCUGGUAGUCCAAGGGCGAAUUC